GAGGGUAUAGCUCAAGUGGUAGAGUGCAUGCUUAGCAUGCACGAGGUCCUGGGUUCAAUCCCCAGUGCCUCCU
rfam:Camelus ferus unplaced genomic scaffold scaffold834, whole genome shotgun sequence.